rnacentral:tRNA from 1 species
AAGGCUUUAGCUUAAUUAAAGUGUCUGAGUUGCAUUCAGGUGAUGUGAAUGAAAGUUUUGCAGGUCUUG